rnacentral:tRNA from 1 species
CUUCCCUUAGCACAAACGGAUAGUGCAACGGAUUUCUAAUCCGUCGGUUGUGAGUUCGAGUCUCGCAGGGAAGA